rnacentral:lncRNA from 14 species
AGACUCCACCCAGAGCCGGGACGCUUCUCCUCGUAUCUGCAGUAAAGAGGCACAGAGUGGCGCAGCUCUAUGCCCAAGCCACACAGGAUGAGGAUGCAGGAUGCUGAGGAAGACGUCACCACUGAUUCCGUAG